rnacentral:rRNA from 1 species
CAGCCGCCGCGGUAAUACGAAGGGGGCUAGCGUUGCUCGGAAUUACUGGGCGUAAAUGGAGCGUAGGCGGAUCGUUUAGUCAGGGGUGAAAUCCCGGGGCUCAACCUCGGAACUGCCUUUGAUACUGGCGAUCUUGAGUAUGGGAGAGGUGUGUGGAACUCCGAGUGUAGAGGUGAAAUUCGUAGAUAUUCGGAAGAACACCAGUGGCGAAGGCGACUCUCUGGUCUAUAACUGACGCUGAGGAGCGAAAGCGUGGGGAGCGAACAGGAUUAGAGACCCCCGUAGUCCCUGUCUCUUAUAC